CCUUCGCAGCUCGCUCACGACUUUGGUAUACGUUUGCGACCCCAAUGUUAUUCGGCAAACUUUCAGAUGAAACUACAAGGUUAAAUUCAUCCAUACAUUGUUUUUCGAUAGCAUGCUUCUGAACUGAGAUAAUAGCAAAUGAAUGUAAAUCUUUGCAAAUGAAUGGUCGCAACCUUGUCUAAAACUACUGGAGAGUUUCAUUCGUAAUUCAGUGGAGUUUAUCCCGUAACUCUGUGGGAACUACUGUUUCCCACUAAGCACUAUGCUUGCUUGCUCGCUCGCUCUUGCGUUAAAUAGAAGCUCUCUUCUGAAUGCCGUGAAAAUUCCACUCAGAAACCAGCGGAAUCUUGUGUAGACUUUUAACAAAACAUCGCAGAUGAAUGUAUCAAUGGCAUCCUGUAUGCAUUUAUGUUAAUUUUGGACAAGGUAAGGCAUUCCAAUUUGAAUUUUCUUGCUAUUUUCGAAAAGAAUUUCAUUCAAAACCUACUGGAAUGUUUCAUUCAAAACUCUGUGGAGAGUUUGACCCGUAAUUCUGUUUCGUACUACGCACUGCGCUCGCUCGCUCGAUCGCUCUUGCGGUGAGAACCCCACUAAGAAAAAUGAACAUAUUUCCAUGAGGAAAUUUGUGGAGACUUUUCUCAAAACAUCGUCCAUUAUCCUUUGGAUGUUUCCUUCACAAAUAUGUAGAGAAAUGCACACAGAAUCGCGUAUGGAACUGCAUCCAGAGUAUGGGACAUAAGUUUCUGGCACUAUGUGCUUUGGAUCGCCAAUCCGGAGACGAUGGGAUCGAUACCCGUUUCGGUUGGGAAUUUUCUGGGCUAAGUCUAUCAUAGUGCUUGUAAUAAUUGUGGAAAUGUUCAAUCGACUCAUUCAGAGUCUUGUGGAGACUUCCCACCAGAAUCAUGAUUCAUAACACAAAAAAGUGGUGAAUUUCUUCCAGUACGCUGGAGAUAUAUGUACAUAGCUAAUUCUAAUGAUGAUCUUCUCCAGAGGUGUGGAAGAAUCUGAUCGGAGUCGUUUCGAUAUUUUUAUUUAAGAGUACUGUGGAGACUUGUUUCAUAUCAUGAUAAUUCUUCGGAGAAUUUUCUUUAGAUUUCCAAUGGAAAUCUGUUGAAAAAUUUGAUUUCAUAUUUUUAGGGGAUUUUGCUAAGUACACUGUGGAGAGUUCCGUUCACCACACUGUAUUAUGAAAACGUCAACCAGUUUUUUUCUUAUUCUUUAAAGAGUUGAGACCGUUGUAGAAGAUUCUGAUCGGAAUUGUGGAAGCUGCCAUGCAUAAUUAUCUUCUGGAGACUUAUUUCCAAUAUCAAGUGGAACACUAUUAUUCUAUUUAACCUCAGGUUUCUCUUCAGAUCAGAAGAAUUGUAAACAAAAUCUUGAGGAGAAAUUCUUGCAAAAUUCUGUGGAGAGUCAUAUCCAGAACUGCCUAAAUAUUGUUAUUUUGAGUCCUGUGGAGAUUUCUGAUUGAAGAAAUGCAAAUUUCUUCGAACAUAAUUCUCUUGGCAUUCCUGUUCAGAUCAGGUAAAUAAUUUUGUCCAAAAUCUUGUGGAGAGUUUUUUCGAGCUCAGAUUGAUGUGAAUAAUACCGUGUGGAUUCUAUAGAAGCCAUUUGAAAUCUGUUUAGAAUUUUACUGUGGAUACUUCGAACUAAACUAGUUUACGUCCAGUAUCGUGAGGAGAGUUCUUCAACGGCUUUAUUAACAAUUCAUAGAUUUACAAUCCAUAAUCGCUCAUUUUUCACCAAAAACCCAAUAUCCCAUGCAUUGGAAUUCCAGGAAUUCCGAAUGGAAUUCGGCUGCGUCAUACCACAACACUGGCAACCCUGCCCACAGAGCAAACCCCCCAAAUGGCGAGCAAGCAGCUUGUCGACGUCGUCACCGUCAAUACCAGCACUAGGCCAAACAAAAAAGAGUUGUAAGUCUGGCGGUUCUCUCUCUCUUUCUUUCUCUCUCAGCUUCGCCCGCACCCGCAAUUGAAAGGUGCCUCCGGUACAAACACAAACAUAACCACAACCGACGACUGAUGACUGGCAACCGUCCGUUCGUGUGCUGUGCAAAUGUAAAUACACAAUUAAAGAUCAGAUGGUGUGGACGGGAGCGCGAGCUCCCGCUCUCUUGGCUCUGCACUCCGCUCCGCGAGUGCAGCACAGUCAAAAGAAGUGUCACCAGCUCUCGGACUCAUCGUCGCAUCGCCGCCACCAUCAAAGUAGGCCUCGCAGCCGCAGGCCUUCUCCCGUUGAUGUUUAGAAACCUUUCAAAGCCUACUUGAACUUCGAUUGUUGAAUGUUUGACCGUCGCGUCAAGAGGUGAAGAGAACAGCGGGUGUGGGAGAGAGAGUGUCGUUUCAAAACACAAACAAGCUCGCGCGUUCUCUUUUUCACCUUUUUGGCUUUCUGCGAUGAGUUUAGAAGAAACCUUUUUCCAAAACCCCGAGUGUCUCUUUCUGACCAAUCCACCAGUUUCGUAUUGAACCCGUGCGCGAGUUCGCUUAUGCUUUGCUCGUCGUUGGUGCUGAUGGGACGAUGAUUGAGUGUCUAUCGGUGUCUUCUUACUCCCGUGCGACGACAUCGAGAAUGAGCGACAACAGAGGGUGAGGAGGAAGAAGCGAGAGAGCGAGCGAAUGUGUACAAGAGAUAUCCAGAUGUCAACUAAUACCACAAUAAACAUUAGGCUUUAUUUGAUUGUCAAUGGAUUGCUUUGUUAAUGCUCCAUUCUUCUUUUGUUUGUUCACAUCCACAAUUAAUUACGGUAAUUGGGACAUUUAAAAAGUAUAAUAAAUAAAUAAAAAUAACCAUAAACAAGUUUUGAGAUUAUUUUGAGAAAAAUACUCAAAGCGCUUCCUCUCAAAAAGGUCAACGAGUUCCAUUUCCGCUGUUUUUUUUGUCGAAAAUCCAGCUCAAACUUCUCACCAAAUCGCGCAUUCAUAAUUUCCAAUUGAAAGCCGUAAAACAAUAAUUGCCAAAAAUCGUAAAAACAGCCCGAAAUUUAUUGUCAUCCUGUGCAUCGCGAACCGACAAAGAUGAAUCGCGAUCGACACAAAACCAGGAAGGGGCUUAAUGCGGCCGCAGCCGACUUUGUCGCCGAUGAUGGUUCCAUUAAAAAUUCAAAUUAGCAUGCUUCGAUUAUCUUUUUUUUUCAUUCCCUGUCCGCUGCUGGAGGAAGAAAAGAAGAUUUUCGAUCCGAUCAUCUCACAGCGAUAGCGACAGGAAGAAAGUUCGCUCACCAGCACGGACAUCAGCGCUGUGCAGUGACAAAAUUCUGCGCGAGGGUGGCGCAAAAGAUGCGAAAGCAUCAGCAAAGUGCAAAAAUCGAAUCAGAUUUGCGGGGAGAAAACAGCGCACAGCGGGAUUAGAACCGAGGCGGUGCGCCUCGCAUCGCAUCGCAGUAGACACAGACGAGAAAGAAAAGCACAAGAGAGAACGAUCUCACCCAUAUCACUUGAGCGCUAGCGCUCGCGGAUCGCGAGGGAUGCUGCGCGACGAAAGUUGCGCUCUCCGCUUUGCUCUCUCAUUCGUUCGGUCGUUCGUUCGUUCGAUCAGAUCAGUUCUCUUCAGUCGUUCUUCUUUGUUCGCGGGUCGCGAUCGCGAGAGUGACGCACACAGCUUUAGCGGGAUUGAGUUUUUUUUUCGCUUCGCUUCGCUUCUGUUUCAGCCAGCAGCCAGCGUCUCCUUUCAAAAGCCUCCGAGUCUCUCGGACAGGAUGGAGUUAGACGCGAGCGUUAUGGGACACAAGGAGAGGUACGGUGGCAAGGAGGAUGCUGAUUUGAAGUGAGUAGUGAGGAGUCAAAUCAAAUGCAAAGGCGAACGGAGAGAACGGAGCAAAGUAAUAAACGAUUAGCGAAAGAGAUUGGACGGUGGAUGGUUGGUGGGAGAGGGAAGGGAGGAGAGCAACAUGAAACGAACGCAGCUUGUAGAGAUAUUGAUGAUGAUGAUUAAUCUUUUCGCUUUGCGAUGUCUAGGUUAGGAUGUACUUUUAGUGUAGACAUAUUAUCUCGUCCACGCACGAGAUGAUCUUUCGUUGUGAAUGGUAGAGACGCUUUGAAGUUGUAAUACAUGCGAUAGGGAUGUGUAAUGUAACUGUUUUGCGGAAAGACAGCAGACUUGGAACCUUUUCCUCAAAUCUGUGCGGCUCUUUCCCAAAUUUUUGUUUCGAUUGCUUCGGUAGAUCAUGCCAGAAAUCUCUACACAAAAUUCCUCCUUAUUCACCAAGAGAUUACAAUAUUUGCCGUAAAAUAUUUUUGUGGAAUUUCAACAAAAGUGCCUCCAAGAAUUGCUCCAGGAUCUUCUUUGGAAGUACAUAUCACGAAACGUUCAUCCAGGAUUAUUGUCUUUAAUUAGUUCAAGGAUUCCUUUAAAUCAAAAUUUCUGUAAGGUUUCAUUAGCAGAAACUCCAGUGGGUCAAAAUCUCCGUUGGAAUUAUUUCAAAAAAUCCUCAGGGAAAUACUAACACGCAUUCCUACGAAAACGCCUCCGGAAAUUCAUCCACGAAUUCCUCCUGGAAUUCAUAAAGGAAUUCUUCAAGAAAUUCUUCCAAUAGUCCGGGAAUUAAUUCAAAAAUGCUUCCCGAAUUCCUUCAGAAAUUAUUUGAUAUUUUUUGCAGA